rnacentral:rRNA from 1 species
UACGUAGGUGACCAGCGUUGUCCGGAUUUACUGGGCGUAAAGAGCGCGCAGGCGGUCGUUCAAGUCGAGUGUGAAAGCCCCCGGCUCAACUGGGGAGGGUCACUCGAUACUGAUCGACUUGAAGGCAGGAGAGGGAAGCGGAAUUCCCGGUGUAGUGGUGAAAUGCGUAGAGAUGCGGAGGAACACCGAUGGCGAAGGCAGCCCCCUGGGCUGACACUGACGCUCAGGCACGAAAGCGUGGGGAGCAAACAGG